GCCAUCGUGGCGGAAUGGUAGACGCCGCAGACUUAAAAUCUGUUGCUCGGCAACGGGCGUGCCGGUUCGAGUCCGGCCGGUGGCA
rnacentral:tRNA from 1 species